AUCUCUUUGAAGAAAUGUUCCUGAACUUGCUUGUUCUUUUCCUUUAGAGAUGAACCUGUAACAGCCUCCUGAGUCUAAUCAGUAAAGUGUCGACCAAGUUAUGAUUUGACAGUGCUUCUCAAGCUAGGUUCUCAAACCUCCUGCGCCUCGGAGUCCAUGAGCCUUGGGAGUGACAAACCUAACAAUCUCCCUGCAUGAUCCUGGCUCACAUUAUGUUUUGAGAACCACAGCUUCAGGGAAAAAAAGAGAAUAGACAGAGAUUACCAAAGGUCCAGGAGAGAUGGUAACCCACCCUGAGCAUGUUUGAAACGUGUGGAUAUUAGCUACUUCUCCUAUGGGCUCUGAGUUGCAGUCACUUCCUCCAGCGGGAAGACAGUAAUCUAAAAACAGGAAGAGUGUGCUCCCAAAACUCAACCUCUCUGAUCUCAGACAUCACAACCUCCA